rnacentral:tRNA from 1 species
GGCCAGGUAGCUCAGCUGGUAGAGCAGCGGACUGAAAAUCCGCGUGUCGGCGGUUCGAUUCCGUCCCUGGCCACCA